GGCAGAGGGAGAAGCAGGCUGCCCGCUGAGCAGGGACCCCGAUGCGGGACUCGAUCCCAGGACCCCCGGGAUCAUGACCUGAGCCGAAGGCAGAUGCUUAACCAACUGAGCCACCCAGACGUCCCCAAAAGACUACGUAUUCUAUGUUUCCACUUAACAUGGGAUGCCCAGAACAGGCAAAUGUCUAGAGAUGGAAAGUAGAUUAGUGGUACUCAGGGCUGGGGAGUUUGGGAGCAAUGGGGGGGGGGCUGCUAAUAGGUAGGUGGUGGUUUCUUUUUGGAUGAUGAAAACGUUCUGAAAUGGAUUGUGGUGAUCGUGGCACAACUCCGUGAAUGUACUAAAAACCACUGUACACUUCAAAUGGGUGAAUUGUAUCGCAGUAAAGCUGCUAAAAGGAAAUCUAGGGAAGAGUUCGGAGAGGGGUACUCUGUAUGACACCACUGGGUGUGGGAGGGUUGCAAUUACAGGAAACUCCCUGGCCGUCCCCCCAUAUCCACUACUAGAGGAAGGAAUGUCCCCCUGCAGACCUCACAGAAUCGGAGCCUGAAGGGGGUGCCCUGAGGUCUGGAGGGGUCCAGAUGGCUCUGUGUGUGACCCCGCCAGCAUUCCUCAUGAGUUCAUUUGUCCAGCAGACAUUUAUGAGUGCCCCCUUCAUCUUCAUUUCUGCGGGAGCAGGGGCUGUGACAAAGUCCUUGCCCUCAGGAAGUCUGUGGUUUCCCUGAGGAGACAGACAAGUCCCAAAAUUGACUGGUUGGGAAAACAAAAGAAAGUCUGGUUGUCUGCACUGGGAAGGAAGGAGAGCGGCUUGAAGGUGAAGGUCACAUCUGAGUUGAACCUGGAGAGCUGGCCACGGGUUGGUGAGGUCGGGAGUGUGCUCUUAGCUCUCUAUUGCCUUUAUUCGUGAUGUGAAGAUGUGGCAGAGAUUGCAGUGAUGUGGCCCUGAGCUCAGGAACACCAGGGCAGCCGCCGGAGGCUGGAAGAAGCGAUGCAUGGAUUCUCCCUAGAGUCACCAGAGAGAACUCCAUCCUGCCAACACCUUGAUUUAAGCCCAGUGAUACUGCUUUCCACUUCUGACUUGCAGAUUGUGAAAGAAUAAAUUUCUGUUAUGCUAA